AUACGGGAGAUGGAAAAGCAGUUCCAGAAGGAGGCGCUGGCAGAGUACGAGGCCAGGAUGAAGGGUCUGGAGGCAGAGGUGAAGGAGUCGGUGAGGGCCUGCCUCAGGACCUGCUUUCCCUCCGAGGCCAAGGACAAGCCUGAGAGGGCCUGCGAGUGCCCCCCAGAGCUGUGUGAGCAGGACCCACUCAUAGCAAAGGCAGAUGCCCAGGAGAGCCGCCUCUGAUGCCCCCAUCCCACUGGGACAUUUAGCAAGGAGGUUCAGCCCCUUCUCUGGGAUGUGGUUCUAUUCCCCCAGGAAAAAGGAGCCCCAGCCUUCUGAGGCUGUGGGAACCUGUGGCUGCCUGCCUGACAAGGUCAGCAUCAUUUGCUCUCCUGAAUUUAUGAGGUUUAUUUAUUUUUCUCUUUCCUACUCCUAUUAAAGAACCUCGUCCCAGUG
rnacentral:lncRNA from 1 species